CAGGACCAAGUUUGGGAAACCCUGCCCUAGAAAAGAACUGUAUAGACAGAAGAUUUAGCAACUCUUGGAGGACAAUCGAAUUAAAAAAUAUAUAUAUAUUGUUAAAAGUGGAACCAACACGUUUCAGCUUUUGGCCUUUAAACAAAGAUUAUUUUAUUUAAUUCCAAUGUCCUCCCAAGAGUUGCUAUAUCUCCUCUCUACUUCAGUUUGCUCCUCAAUUCAUGCACCUUGGUUGGAGAGCGAGGUAGCUGCAGUGCUCCCUUCCCUAGAACAGAACAGUGCCUCAGCCUACAGGACAAGCCAGCUAGACACACAGACGGGACAUAUUUUUCAUAGAUCCUGGAUAUGAUUAUGUUUCUGAAUUCUCAUUUGCUGCAAUUGUCAAUGUUCCAGGGGGAACUUUUCUUGGAAAUGUGAGCAAGCGCCAUAUUGAAACGCUUUCCCCUCAAUCAAAAAGAAAUAAGAUUAAAGUGCAUAUAUAACAUUAUUCCAGCUGUGUAAGAGCAUUGGAAUGUUACAAUAUCAAAAAGUAACGGUAGAAUUCUAUUUGAUUGAAAUAUGUUGAUAUGCAAAGCCAACACUUCAGUAUAAAGGAAGCUAUGUUUUCUGAUGGUGAAUAUAGAAUGAUUAUAAUAACACUAUGUUUUCUGAUGGUGAAUAUGGAAUGAUUAUAAUAACACUAGGUUUUCUGAUGGUGAAUAUAGAAUGAUUAUAAUAACACUAUGUUUUCUGAUGGUGAAUAUAGAAUGAUUAUAAUAACACUAUGUUUUCUGAUGGUGAAUAUGGAAUGAUUAUAAUAACACUAUGUUUUCUGAUAUAAUAAUAAUAUAUGCCAUUUAGCAGACGCUUUUAUCCAAAGCGACUUACAGUCAUGUGUGCAUACAUUCUACGUAUGGGUGGUCCCGGGAAUCGAACCCACUACCCUGGCGUUACAAGCGCCAUGCUCUACCAACUGAGCUACAGAAGGACCACAAUAAUAACACUAUGUUUUCAAAAGGUUCUCCAUGUAUGUACCGUCGAAACAUAAACUAAAGUGUUGGGGUCGGGGUGAGGGCUUUUAUGUAGAUUUUCAAUGCAAUCAAAUUGUGUAGCUAUCCUGUUUUAUAAAGAGUUUGCAUUGCCAAUAAAUGAAUGUGGCAAAUUGUCAAACAAUUCUGUUCAA